GAGAAAAAGAAGCGGGCGAGCAGCUGUAGCUAGCGACACCUAACCCGCGUCUCCACCAUGACCCCCGCCUCCUCUCCUGCCGCCGCCGCGCCCUCCCCACCCGCACGCGACCCACCCUCCUCUUCGACCUCCCUCCUAGCCGCCGCUGCCUCUCCUUCUCUUCCUCCUCUCUCUCCUGCUCCGCCGUCCUCCCCCCAUCCACCCAUGCUGCACUCCUAUCCUGUAUCCCGCUGGAUCCGAGGCUUCUCCGACGGAGACGAUGACCUGUAGGCGAAGGGUGACGACGCAGAGGAGAUGGAGGUGCAGCAGCAUACGGGAGAGGGUCACCAGCCAGCGUCGUCCUGUGCUGGUGAGGUCGGGCUCCACCAUUCCUGUCCGUCGUCCUUACGCGUCACCGGCGCUGCAGUUGCGCGGGGCGUGGGGAAAGCAAGGAGAGGGAGGGGAUGAGUGGGAGGCGCGAGGACGAAGGCGCUCCGGCGGCGGGGCCCGCCAGCCAUGCGGUGCUGGUCGUGGAGUACUCCAGAUCCCCUUUCGCUCGCUGCCACCACGGCCUUUCUCGCCAUCGACCUCCCAGGCGAUUCUCUCCCCAAAUUGUGCCUACAUGGCCAGAUUUAUUCAAGCCCCAGGUGAAGACACCUCCCUCACUGUCCAAGCGUGCUUCUCUACAUGGGCGGCGUCACCACGACCAGUUUGCCGAUUCAAGCCAAGGGUUGCAUUAGAUCUUCACGAAUCAUAUCUAUUAUUUUGAGGAGCACUCAAACAAUUGUAUUGCAAAACAGUAUGCCUUUGUUUGACGGUGUAUUCACCUCAUCAUACCAUCUGUUCUAAUCAAGGCCACAGUCACUGCCCGGAAGGAGAUGUCGGGGUUGUUAUUGACUGGGAGGAGACAAGGAGCAGGAGACAGCAGGAGAGGCAGUAAGCAUCUUGACAAUGAUAGCCGUCACCCGGCUUAUUUGGUUAUCCUUCAUAUGCCUCCUAGGCUGGUUUGUGGGAAUUGACAUGCAUUGCUGUUCCAUUUUACUGAUUUAUUUGAUAAAUACGUGACCAUACGGGUAACCUAUUGUUUGUUUUAGCACUAUCGGACAAUGCAUUCCUAUUUAACAGGGAAUUGCUUAUCUAUGAUUCAGGCUAGAACAAUUGUUUUCUACUAAUGAUUGACGUUCUACUGUAUUCUUCAGAUUUGCGUAGCGCAUACUGCUCUUUGAACAAGCAGUUGAUGUCUUCACACAAACUGCUCAAAAUCAACUAUGUGUUGUGGUACAGAUCUUUUAUCUCUUUGUUUUGCUCCCUCAAAUUGUUGGAAAAAUGGCUAGCCUAUUUCUUCCUUCAGAUGAUACAUAUGAACAGAUAAUGCUAGGUGGUAGCCUUGCAAGAUGCGUUUUGAUGUUCAUAUGUACUGUCUGCUUGAUGAGAGAAAAAACAAUAAUAUAAUAGAUAGUAAGACGUGUGUUGUUGCUUUGAUAUGGCUUGGAAAAGAGGGUUUAGUAAGGGGAAAUAGCUGGCUGUUAUAGUGUGGCUUUCAUAGUUAGUUAUUUGUUAGAAAAGCUUAAACCUGUUUGUUCCUUGCCAGUCUUAAAGAUCUUCCAAUGCUUGUGAUCCUUUUCCAUAGCUAUUACUUAUUUGUUAGAAAAUAUUACAAUUUCUUCGUUCUACAUGCGGCAAUCGAUUGUUGGAGGUGGUAAUAAUGUAUAAAUUGGCAUGAAAAGCACGGAUGCAGAACAGAUGGAAAAAUUGAUGUUGAACUCGAAAAUACAUUGCAAGAAAUUUUCUUCAGAGAUGCUAUGAAAAAAAUGAAUAUAUUCUACUGUUUGUGAACAUGUAGGAGAAUGAUAUAUACAUUUAUAGAGUAUGUCCUGCUCGAGAACGGCGGCAAUGGAUGCCGGUGCUCCUCUUCAUCUUUCCCGACCUGCAAGGACGUAAGCAUCUAGUACAGGACUGCACCAGCGCCGGUGGGGGUGUCCGGGGCGCCAGCUCGUCAUCGUCCACACCGCGCUGGAGCAGACACGCCUCUGUACAGCUCUCACGCCCGCAGGAAAAAGUUCAAGCUCAUACGGCGAUGCUGUUGUUUUUGACCUCCAAGGACGCGUGCCGGCAUCCGGGUACGCAAGCAACCAAUACAACCACGACAUGGUCCAGUCGGCCUUCUCUGACGAGCUUCCGCCCUGCACCAACAGCAGCACCGUGCUGGCUGCUGCAGCAUUGAGUUAACAGCGGUGCAACGCUAUUGUUGCUUUGGAAAUGCUAUUGGAUCUUAUAAAGAUUUUUGGACCUAUUAUUCAUUCGACAUUGUCAGCUAGCUCACUCGUUGGAGUAGAUCUUUACGCCGGAAAGAGGUAUGCCCCCCAAAUUUACUCGAAGAAGGGAGCUGGGUGUUGCUAAGAGAGAUGUUGUCAAAACUUGUGUUGCUACAAGUCUACCAAGGAACUCAGUGCGAGGUGGCAAGUUGGACACAAACUUAUGUUUUACCGAAACGGUUGCCCUGAAAAGCAUAAUGACUGCAAUCAUCAGUAGCAUAUUUACUCUAGCUGUAACCUAAUUCUCAUAUCCCAUUAAGCUCAUGUGCAUAAAUCAACUAGGUUGAAGAGUGCUAUCAAUUUCCUCAAGAAGACCAGUUGAGAUAUUAUAUGCAUGAUGUGGAUUGUUGAGUUUGCUUGGUUAUUGGAAUGCCAUGCCUGUGCAGAUCAGCGGGGGCUGAGUCUAGGGUGAGACCUUCAAGAUGGAUUUGUUGUUACCGUUAUUUCAGUUUGCGGGUAGAGGAUAUGAUUCCAGCAAGACCGAGACAACGAUGAUGAAAGGUGAGAUUUAUGUUAAGGAAUAUUAGCAGAUGUUCACAGGAUCACUGGAAGCAUAUAAAGGUAUCCACAAGGAUAGUUGCUUUCUUAUCGACUCAGAAUUAAAGUAUAGUUAUAGACAGUCAAGAGUAGUUGUCUUUUUAUUUAUUCGAAAACACAGUGUACCUUUUGUGAUCGUAGCUGUAUGCAAUGAUCCAUCAUGUAUUUUUUUUAAACCACAACCCCUAAUUGUUUGAUGUCAUGAAAUGUCUAUGUUUUUUGUUUA